GAUGAACGCUGGCGGCGUGCCUAAUACAUGCAAGUCGAACGGACGGACGCGACGCUUGCUUCUUUGAUGUUAGCGGCGCGCGGGUGUGUAACACGUGUAUAACCCCCUUAUCUUACUGGUAUAUCCACGGGAAACCGGAGCUAACACCGGAUAAUAUCUUGAUCCGCAGGGUGCAAAGGUGAGAUACGGUCUUGCUGUCACUUAUAGCGGGUUCUGCGCUGCAUUAGCUAGUUGUUAAGGUAACGGCUUAUCACGGCUACGAUGCAUAGACGACCUGAGAGGGUGAUCGGCCACACUGGAACUGAGACACGGUCCAGGCUCCUACGAGAGGCAGCAGUCGGGAAUCUUCCGCAGUGGGCGAGAGCCUGACGGAGCAACGCCGCGUGAGUGAUGGCAGUCUUCGGAUCGUAAAGCUCUGUUAUUAGGGAUGAACAUAUGUGUAAGUAACUGUGCACAGCGUGACGGUACCUAGUCAAGAAGCCACGGCUAACUACGUG
rnacentral:rRNA from 1 species